rnacentral:rRNA from 1 species
UACGAAGGGGGCAAGCGUUGUCCGGAUUCAUUGGGCGUAAAGAGCUCGUAGGCGGUUCGAUAAGUCGGGUGUGAAACCUCCAGGCUCAACCUGGAGACGCCACCCGAUACUGUCGUGACUAGAGUCCAGUAGGGGAGCGUGGAAUUCCUGGUGUAGCGGUGAAAUGCGCAGAUAUCAGGAGGAACACCAGCGGCGAAGGCGGCGCUCUGGGCUGGAACUGACGCUGAGGAGCGAAAGCGUGGGGAGCGAACAGG